GGGAGGGAAAAGAAAAGAAAAGAAAAAGAAAGAAACACUAGGGGAAAAUGUUUUAACUAGUCAUUCUUCCCAGUAGCUAAUGAAGCUGACUUUUAAAAAGAAGGCUGUGAGCUUUGCAGAUGCUGCUGCCGCCCAGAGCCCCCUGCUUCCAGCCAUGGUCAGCCCCACCAUGUUUUUCCACAUUGCUGUCGAUGGCGAGCCCUUGGGCUGUGUCUCCUUCAAGCUGUUUGCAGACAAGGUUCCAAAGACAGCAGAAAAUUUCUGUGCUCUGAGCACUGGAGACAAAGGAUUUGGUUAUAAGGGUUCCUGCUUUCCCAGAAUUAUUCCAGGGUUUACGUGUCAGAGUGGUGACUUCACACGCCAUACAGCAUUGGUGGCAAGUCCAUCUGCAGGGAGAAAUUUGAUGACAAGAACUUCAUCCUGAAGCAUACAGGUCCUGGCAUCUUGUGCAUGGCAAAUGCUGGACCCAGCAUGAACGUUUCCCAGUUUUUUAUCUGCACUGCCAAGAUGCCAAGACUGAGUGGUUGGAUGGCAAGCAUGUGGUCUUUGGCAAGGUGAAAGAUGGCAUGAAUAUUGUGGAGGUCAUGGAGCACUUGGGGUCCAGGAAUGGCAAGAUUAGCAAUCAGCAAGAAGAUCACCAUUGCUGACUGGACAACUGCAAUAAAUUUGACUGGUGUUUCUCUUAAAAAAAAAAUACUGUGACAGACCAAGGUAAAUUGUUCUUGAUAAUUACAGAAGUGUGAUUUCUUAAUCAGCAGCUGUCAAACAUAGUGUUCCUUAAUUUAAAAGCUUGAACACUAAAUUAUAAAUUGGAUAAUUACGGUUAUAUCUCUAGUACACAAGUCUUUAGUAGCAAAAAAGAAAUUAGCAAGAGAAGAAGACUGUUCAGUACUUUGAAAGGAAAAAGUUUUCAUUGAUAGAAGUUUUUUUAGAUGAAAAUUAACAUGAUAAAGAAGUGACAGGCCAGGUGUGGUGGUUGACACUUUUAACACCAACAAUUUGGGAGGCCAAGAUGGGAGGAUCUUUUGAGCCCAGGAAUUCAAGACUAGCCUAGGCAACAAGGCAAAACUCAUCUCUACUAAAAAUUUUAAAAAUUAGCCAGGUGUGGUGGCACCUGCCUGUAGUCCCAGCUGCCUGGGAAGCUGAGGUGGGAGGAUCGCUUGAGCCCAAGAGGUUGAGGCUGCAGUGAGCUGUGAUCACACCACUGUACUCCAGCCUGGGCAAGAGUGAGACCCUGUCAAAAAAAAAAAAAAAAGAAGGGACAAAUAUUACAAGAGUUUUUGCUAAAAGUUUUAAGUUGAUAAGAUGCAGAGAAUUGGGGGAAUGUAUAAUAAAUCAGAUUUCAUUUAGUUAUUUAUCUCAUGAAUCACUUUCCUCCUAACCGUUGUCGUAGGAGCCAUGUGUUCACAUGUCAUGUGGACCAGUAUUUAACUGUGGAAACCGCGGGUGUCAUGGAGGAGGCAGUGUCCAUGACUGUGCCGCUCUCCGCAGCCCCCUGCCUGCUGUUCUGCUUCCUGGGCUCCUCGGUGUCUGGACUGGCGUUCUGAGUUUCCCAGCAGAAAACUGAUGGGCCAGAGAGGUGUAAAACCACACACCACUUGGCAGGUAAUAAUUUCCCCACAUGCUAUCUUUUUAGGGAUCCUGAACACGCAGCCUUUCCCAAAAGACUGCUCUCUCCAGCUACUGAGAAAUGAUGACAAGAAAAGGCCGAAUUGCAGUGUCUCCAUCAGCAGUUUGCUCUCUAUGGGCACACGAUGACAAAAUAUCCUGAAGCGAACCACUAGUCUGACCUCAGUAGCAGGAUUGGAAGCUUCAUGCCAUGGGAGCUGUCAGGAAAGGCAUCCCAAAGAGAACUGAAAUUUAAAAAUAAUAAUAGACCUUCAGGAAUAGGUGAUUGUCCCCAUAUACUGGGGAUGAAAUACCCAGUGUAACCAAAUUCCCCAGUAAGAUCACUUAGUUUGGCAAUAGUCUUUUGUUUGGCAGUAGUCUUUUCUUUUGAGCACGUUGAAGUUUAUUUGCUCAAUGAAGGCUGAAAUUAUAAGUCAGUAUAUAUGUAUUACUAAGUAGAACUUGAGGUAAUUAUAUGUCUUAGUCAAAAGCAGUUUCUGUGGGCUUGGUAUAAACCCUCCUUUGUGAUUUGCUAAAGCACAGGAUGUUGACUCAAACCAAAACUAGUUUUGUAGUUAAUAUGUGUUGUGUUUCUGUGACUUAAUCAACUAGGAAAGCCACCUACAACAUUCCCAGCUACUUAAGUUUUAAAAGUUUUUAAAACACUUGUCACCAUAUUUUGAAAAAUACUAACAUUUGGAUUACUAGUUAUAAGUGUAAUUUCUACUGUGUCAUAAUCAGCCAUGCAGCUGGAGACUUGCCCUCUUUGUACAGCAAAGUUGUGAAAAAAAGGUAUUUGCACUACAUUUAUUUAAACAUUAGGGAAAAAAAGGCUAACCCAUGCUUUUCUUUGCUGAGAUGUAGGGCUGUAUUAUUGGCUAGUGAGAAGCCUGGGAACACUAGGACUUUGUGUGGGCUGAUUGCCAGUAUCAGAUCCGGGAUUAUACAGGUACUCUUGGAAGUGUCUUGGGGAUUUUCCUGGUAAGAACAGUAGUGAUUGCAUAAAAGAACAGACAGGAUGUAAAGUGAAAUCAGUAAAAUAUCUUAGUAGACAGAGGGUGCUGAAAUUUUAACAAAUGUGUAAAAAGUUCUUCCCAUGCAUUAAUUUUCCAGAUACCCUUAAAAUGUUUUAAGGAGUAUAAUUCAAAAUGCUGUUUAAAAGAGACAUGUGACCAUCAUUCUCCAAGAGAAUGUGAAUCAUUUAGUGUGCUACUUAAAAUUAGGUGUAAAUCUGUAUGUACACUAUAAGAAUAAAAAUCGAUACAAUUUCUUUAAAGCUAAAACAAACUUAAUUAUUUCUAAUAGUUACAUUUUAGGCUCUCAAACUAUUUUUCUUUUGAAAUAACUGCUUUCUGCCCUAAGAUGUUACUUAUUGCUGUCUUCUUUUUAACAGGUGAUUUGAAGAUAUUAAAGCUAGAAAUUGGAACUAGAAAAUCAAAAGAAUUCAAGGCAUCUUAACGUGACAGUUGAACUCAUUUGAUUAUACUUAAAAAAGUUUAUUGCAGUUAUUGACUUUUUUUUUUUUUGAGUGCAGUGGUGCCGUUGUUGCUCACUGCAGCCUCAGUCUUCCAGGCUCAAGAAAUCCUCCCACCUCAGCUUCCAGAGUAGCUGGGACUACAGGUGCAUGCCACACCCUGAUAAUUUUUUUUAACAUAAACAAGGCCUUGCUAUGUCGUCCAGUCUGGUCUUGAACUCAAGUGAUCCUCCCACCUUGGCCUCCCAAAGUGCUGGAUGACAGGCGUGAACCACCAAACCCAGCCACCAGUUUUACUUUAGGUAAACUUUUAUUUUCAAGCUUUUGUUGGUGUUACAAGUGUAAAUCUCUGUUUUAUAAAAUGUUCUAUAAAUAUAACCACUAUUCCUUGUAAGCUAUUUAAAAUAAAUUUUAAAGUCUUUCAAGUAAA